AUGGGNGCAAGUCUGANGGAGCACGCCGCGUGAGUGAAGAAGGCUUUCGGGUCGUAAAACUCUGUUGUUGGAGAAGAAUGGUCGGCAGAAGUAACUGUUGUCGGCGUGACGGUAUCCAACCAGAAAGCCACGGCUAACUACGUGCCAGCAGCCGCGGUAAUACGUAGGUGGCAAGCGUUAUCCGGAUUUAUUGGGCGUAAAGCGAGCGCAGGCGGUUUUUUAAGUCUGAUGUGAAAGCCCUCGGCUUAACCGAGGAAGUGCAUCGGAAACUGGGAAACUUGAGUGCAGAAGAGGACAGUGGAACUCNNNGGGGUAAGCGGUGA
rnacentral:rRNA from 2 species